GCUGGGCGGAAGCUCUCCGAAGAGGCCACGUGCUGGGUGUCUGUCACCCUUGUUGCGCCUCUGGGAAGGUCUGAGAGAAGGGCCGAGCAUCACCCUAGCAGGGUGCCGCCUCCUGGAGGUGGGUGAGUCCCCAGCGAUACGGGUCCCGGCGAAGUCCGAUAUUGGGCAGGAGAAGCUGGAAACGGGGGAACUCCGCCCCCCUCCCGCGGAUGCCUCCGUGGCUCGCUUGGGAUUUGGGAAUGACUCACGGCCAGCAAUCUUGAGUACAAUGGGAAGAGGUGAAGCAUAAGCGAACAGCGGCUUCAUAACCCAAUUCAGACUAGUCUCCAUCCAGC
ensembl:ribozyme RNaseP_nuc Nuclear RNase P